GAACACGGAAGUUAAGCCUCUCAGCGCUGAUGGUACUUGGACCGCAGGGUCCCGGGAGAGUAGGUCGUUGCCGGAU
rnacentral:rRNA from 1 species